rnacentral:misc_RNA from 1 species
GUUACAAAACGCGUCGGUGCUGCUUGUGUAGUAAAAUGGCGUCGAAAACUGUGUCGAAAGGGCAGCGAUACAUCGGCGAAACCAAACAGCAGCUUAGGGAUGGCUAUGGGAUCUAUAAAUACUCCAACAGCUUCUUCCGCUAUGAAGGUGACUGGAAAGAAGGAAAGAAACAUGGGCACGGGAAACUCAUCAUGGGCGAUGGUAGCUAUUACGAGGGAGAGUUCAUCCACGGAGAGAUAGAGGGUCAUGGCUUCAGGAAGUGGGCAUCGGGGGUCACCUACUCUGGCCAGUUCGCGGAUGGAGAGAUGAACGGCCACGGGGUGAUGACAUAUGCCGACAACAGCGUCUAUGAGGGUGAAUUCUUGAACAAUAAGCGAGAAGGUCGUGGCAUUCUAAAACAGUCCGACGGUGCUGUGUACGAAGGCUCUUUCCACAAUGACAAGAAACACGGCGAAGGCUCACAGCGUUAUAAUAACGGCGAUGUGUACAUCGGUGAUUGGAUCAAAGGGAUGAGGCAAGGCAGUGGGGAACUCCGGUGCUUAGACGCCACAAUUUAUGAUGGUCAGUGGCGUAAUGACCUUUACAAUGGAGAAGGCACCAUGCUCCACAGCUCAGGGAUGACAUACGAAGGCAUGUGGAUCAACGGCAGACCGGCAGGUGAGGCAGCGAAGAUCGUCAUCAUGACCGACCCUGAGCUGGAUAUGUACCAGGGCACCUCUUUCGGCAUCGAGGUGGAGGUGCAGUCAGAGAGCGGGGAGACGGUCAGGCAGGAAAAUGGACGCCUGCUGCAGAUCACCGCUGGGUUCCGCCACUACACGCCCAGCCAGACCUCACCCCUCUUCGACCUCAUCGAAGACAUGGAAGAAAAGCCAGUACCAACACCGUAUGGGUACGAUGUCGUUGCCUACCCUCUGACUGAGUACAGCUACAUCGAGGAGAAGUAUUGUCUAGACGGCUACGUGCCUAAGCCGUCUACGGCGCUGACUGAAGGUACAACUGUCGAAGCGUCCAUUCCUGAAGAACCAGAGCAUGUUCCCCAGAUUGAAGUCAUCCACCCGGCCAGCGAAGCCGCCGACGAGACGGCCAAACCAGAUUCCAGCAAAACAGACGAGGGUGCAGUGACGGAUGUCACGGGCACUGAGCCCACACCCCAGUCUGGCAGCGAGGCAGCAGAAUCAGUGCCUGCAACUGCAGCCGAUGGCUCCUUAGGGACCGAGCAACAGUUAACGGGCACAGCAGAUCUGGCAGAGGAGACGUCACCGGUACCUCCCCCCAUCAGCGACCAGAAAACAGAGAACGGACGGACCAGCUUCAAGGAUCUCAUCCUUCCCGGCGUCUCCUCAUCUUCCUUUCCCUACGCUAUUUCCCCGGUGAAGGAGGACUCCGACCUAAGCUUGUCGGGUGACCAGCGGUCACGGAGCGGCACCAAAACCAAACUCAAAACCAGUGGCAAGGGAAAUAAACGAGCGGAAGGGUUUGGUGCUACCAGGGGCACCGGUUGGCUAUCGUCCGUUCAAUGUGCUCGAUAUCAUGCUGGAAGAGGAAGCCCGCACCAAGGCUCGUAAUUCCAAAACGGCGGGGUUGGCUCAGCAGUUACGACUGGGAGCUAAACUGGGGAAGACCGUAGCCAGUGCCCAACCUGUUUCUACGGCGACCUUACUGCCAGAAUUGAUACCAACUG